GUUCAUUGUAUCUUAUGAACUUGAAAAGAUCUUGGAAUGGCAGUGACUGGAGGCAGAGGUGGGUGUUCCUGCCACUGAAUAAAAGCCAAUUGGAGUGAAUAUAUUUAACUACAAUGAAAUAGUGCAGUAUAGAAUAAAACAACACUGCUUAAGCUGGCCCAAAUGUACAAUAAGUACUUUUGAUGCCUGGCAGAAAAAAUGGGUGGAGGUUGCCUUUCCAGUGGGCUGGGUGCUCGUAGGGGACAACAUUGUGAUGUUUUGCUCUCAAGAAAUGCUUAGUGGCCUAUAUUUGAUCUGUAGAAAGCUAACCAUGCAGAUUUUUUAAAGGUACAAGACCCAUUGCCAUAUAUUUAAAAGAGGAUGUCCAACUCUCUGGUCUCAGAAAAAAAAUCUGUCAAUUUUGUCAGUAGAUUUAUAAAAUAAGCAUGUAGGGCAGUGUUUUUCGAUCUUGACAACUUUAAGAUGUGUGGACUUUAACUCCCAGAACUAAUUCUUGGAGUUCACACAUCUUAAAAGUUGUUACUGUAAGUUUGAAAAACACUGUUGUAGGAAAAAAGAGACCUCACUGGAAAUUCAGCCAGUUUUGUACAGGGUCCAUUAAUCUCUGUAAUAACUAGGAUGCCACUACUAAACGGGUCUUAUGCCCAGAGAUAACAUUUCUCACAUAAUUUAUUGUUUCUGACACACAGAAAUGUUUCUGUAUCCAAAGAAUUUGAAAUGUUUAAAAUAUUAAAUAAAAUAGAGAACAUAACAGACAGAUUUAUUCAUUCCCUCCCAUGCCUGGGAUUAUGUUUAGACCAUCCAACAAAAUGUUGCCAUCAUUAAAAUUGAUGAGUCCUUAAAAUUGAUAAGGCCCUUGGAAAAUAGACAAGCAAGUUUUGGAUUAAUUAAACUAUAAACAUGGUGAUUGGGCCAUAGAACUUUUAAGAUAUUACCUAAUCGUUUUUUAAAGUCAUGUAUGACUAUCAUCACAACAUGAACAGUUAAAUUCAUACCUUAAUAAGAACAAUUCAUCCAACCUCAUGUUUCAAUGGAACAGCUACUCCAGAUACUACAUAUUCUUUGAUAUUGCUUCCAUUUGUACUUGAGCACCCCCCCCCCAAACAAUAUGUGGUAAUCUGCUGUGAGUCUUCUGGAGGGAGUUGACUACAAAUUUAAUAACAGAAUAAAAACAUCACCUUGGUUACUCUGCUGACCCAAGCACAACACACAGAUUCAGAAAGCAUACAUUAUGUAAAGAAAAUACUUAUUCAAGAUCUCAUUUAUUUUGACUCCUUUAAAUAUAUCUAUCUAAGAAAAUUAGACAAGUUAUGCUUAAAUGACAGGUGACAGGACUGGAGAUAAUUUGUUUAAAGUCAUAUAGUAUAUAUACUAAAACCCCUCUUCUCUGGCACUAAUCACAGCUAAAGGUAGUAAUUACUAUAUUAUUUCUCGGUUCAUGCUAAGCAGUAGAUUCUUGACACACUAUUUGUUUAAGGGUACUUAAUGCUGCAGUUGUAUGCAUGCUGCACGGGAGGAAACUCCAUAAAAUAUACUGUGACAUAUUUCUAAGUAAACAUGCAUAUGAUUAUACCAAGCUCAGCAAAUGCCAAGAUCUCUACAUUUUCUUUAGAUAUGCUGUGUGUCUAAAAUAAAUAGAAAAAAUAACUUUAAAUUCUCAGAACUGAAAGGCAUGUCUAAAUGGAAACAUUUAGGAUAGUGUAGGGAAACAAUAAUAUAGAAUAUAAAAUACUGAUAUACUAGAUUUAGUAAAAGCUUGUUAUUCUGUAAUCAUUAGGUUCCUGUAACAUAUAUAUUGUGCUUUUGUAUCACAUAUAUUAUUCCUUUCUAUUUGUAUCUCCUGUUACAAACAUAUUGUCAUUAGGCCUCUGAAAUGUAUCUGGUAUUUGUCAAACGUAUGUCCCUGCCAUUUGACCUGCUCAUAUCAAUCUCUUUCUGUGCCACCUAAAAACAUGGUAUGUAUCUGUUGGAACUCCAGCCAUCAACAAAGGGGUAAUUUACAACUCAAUCCUAAUUUAUGUCUGAUCUGGGUAAGAUCUGGUCUUCAGGAGCCAGGCGCUAAGUGGCCAAUUAAGUAAACAAAGAUAAGACUAAUUGGAAGUUUAGAUUCCUUUGCAGGGCAACAAAGAAUACACAAACAUAAAUUAAGGGGCCAGAAUUGGGGAUCUAACUGAUGCUUUAAAGGUAUAAAACGUGGUUACAUCUUCUCUGAAGAUGUGAACCCUCCCAUAUACAUAUCUCUUUGUAUGUGUUUGGAAUGGUUUUACCCAGCCUUUUGUCUUUGAUCAAAGAUUAAAUGUUGAUUCUUAUUCAAGCCUCCGUUUAAGUCUUUCUUUUUGGUUCACUGAGAGCUUAAGCGUAUAGCCGGACCUUACAUUUCUGGCGCCCAACGAACGUGGGGCUUGAAGGCAAAGUUUUCCUUCAAGGUUGCCACAUUUGCCCCCCCCCCCAUACAGCCAACCCCCUUGUGGUUUGGCGGCCUUCACCAACGGCGUACGGAAGAAACCGGCGAGGACCAGAGACGACGUCAAGAGCGCUCCCGGCAAGUUUAAACCAGUGACUUCGACCUGGUCGGCCGUCGGCAGAUUCUGUUUCCAGCCGGACCUGAACGCCCUAAUUGAGGCUUGAAUUGGGUAUUGGGGAAGAUUGUCCUCUGCUAGGUCCAAUCCGCUUUACCUCCAGCUGCUGACGUGCCACCAUUGGCUGAACCGGGCCAGUGGGUAAGGAUCAAAGAACUCUCUCCCACCUGCACUCAGCCCAAGUGGUCUACACCCCGUCAGGUUCUUCUGAGCACCCCCACGGCUGUGAAAGUGGACGGCGUCAAAGCGUGGGUCCACGCAUCACGAGUCAAGCACGUCCCCGAGCCCCCUGAGCAGUGGCAAGUCCAACAGCUGGAAGGACUCAAGCUGAAACUUCACCGCUCCCCAGCAUCGCCUGCUGACCUGUUCACUGAUGAACUGGAUAGACUGGACACCCAUUGAAUAUAUUUGAUUUGCUGUUUUUGUUGUCUUUGCUCUUUUUCUGCUCUGUUGCUGCUGGUUUCCCCGCACAUUCUUUGGAAAAGGUGACAAUGGCUCUGAUCUUUAUUUUGGUUCCACAACUUGUCUCAAUGUUUUUGAUCCUCGGGACUUUUAUACCCGCAGCCAAACUCUUCCCCAACUGAACCUCACAUGAUCCUUAAAACCAUCCCUACUAAAUAUGUACCUCUUUUACAGCAUGAUGGAAAGCAUUCCAUCGUUUAAAUAAAAAGAGUGAAAUGUAGGGAAACAAUAAUAUAGAAUAUAAAAUACUGAUAUACUAGAUUUAGUAAAAGCUUGUUAUUCUGUAAUCAUUAGGUUCCUGUAACAUAUAUAUUGUGCUUUUGUAUCACAUAUAUUAUUCCUUUCUAUUUGUAUCUCCUGUUACAAACAUAUUGUCAUUAGGCCUCUGAAAUGUAUCUGGUAUUUGUCAAACGUAUGUCCCUGCCAUUUGACCUGCUCAUAUCAAUCUCUUUCUGUGCCACCUAAAAACAUGGUAUGUAUCUGUUGGAACUCCAGCCAUCAACAAAGGGGUAAUUUACAACUCAAUCCUAAUUUAUGUCUGAUCUGGGUAAGAUCUGGUCUUCAGGAGCCAGGCGCUAAGUGGCCAAUUAAGUAAACAAAGAUAAGACUAAUUGGAAGUUUAGAUUCCUUUGCAGGGCAACAAAGAAUACACAAACAUAAAUUAAGGGGCCAGAAUUGGGGAUCUAACUGAUGCUUUAAAGGUAUAAAACGUGGUUACAUCUUCUCUGAAGAUGUGAACCCUCCCAUAUACAUAUCUCUUUGUAUGUGUUUGGAAUGGUUUUACCCAGCCUUUUGUCUUUGAUCAAAGAUUAAAUGUUGAUUCUUAUUCAA